rnacentral:rRNA from 1 species
UUAGCAGGCUUACACAUGCAAGUCGAGCGGAAGAGUAGCUUGCUACUGAUCUUAGCGGCGGACGGGUGAGUAAUGCUUAGGAAUCUGCCUAUUAGUGGGGGACAACAUUUCGAAAGGAAUGCUAAUACCGCAUACGUCCUACGGGAGAAAGCAGGGGAUCUUCGGACCUUGCGCUAAUAGAUGAGCCUAAGUCGGAUUAGCUAGUUGGUGGGGUAAAGGCUUACCAAGGCGACGAUCUGUAGCGGGUCUGAGAGGAUGAUCCGCCACACUGGGACUGAGACACGGCCCAGACUCCUACGGGAGGCAGCAGUGGGGAAUAUUGGACAAUGGGCGCAAGCCUGAUCCAGCCAUGCCGCGUGUGUGAAGAAGGCCUUAUGGUUGUAAAGCACUUUAAGCGAGGAGGAGGCUACUUUAGAUAAUACCUAGAGAUAGUGGACGUUACUCGCAGAAUAAGCACCGGCUAACUCUGUGCCAGCAGCCGCGGUAAUACAAGAGGGUGCAAGCGUUAAUCGGAUUUACUGGGCGUAAAGCGCGCGUAGGCAGCUAUUAAGUCAAAUGUGAAUCCCCGAGCUUAACUUGGGAAUUUGCUUCGAUAACUUGGUUAAGCUAAGAGUGUGGGAGAGAU